rnacentral:rRNA from 1 species
UACACUCCUACGGGAGGCAGCAGUGAGGAAUAUUGGACAAUGGGUGGAAGCCUGAUCCAGCCAUCCCGCGUGCAGGAAGACGGCCCUAUGGGUUGUAAACUGCUUUUAUCUGGGGAUAAACCUACUUACGUGUAAGUAGCUGAAGGUACCAGAAGAAUAAGCACCGGCUAACUCCGUGCCAGCAGCCGCGGUAAUACGGAGGGUGCAAGCGUUAUCCGGAUUUAUUGGGUUUAAAGGGUCCGUAGGCGGACUGAUAAGUCAGUGGUGAAAUCCGACAGCUUAACUGUCGAACUGCCAUUGAUACUGUUAGUCUUGAGUAAGGUUGAAGUGGCUGGAAUAAGUAGUGUAGCGGUGAAAUGCAUAGAUAUUACUUAGAACACCAAUUGCGAAGGCAGGUCACUAAGUCUUAACUGACGCUGAUGGACGAAAGCGUGGGGAGCGAACACGAUUAGAUACCCCAGUAGUCC